CGAAGAACCUUACCAGGUCUUGACAUCCUCUGACAACCCUAGAGAUAGGGCUUUCCCUUCGGGGACAGAGUGACAGGUGGUGCAUGGUUGUCGUCAGCUCGUGUCGUGAGAUGUUGGGUUAAGUCCCGCAACGAGCGCAACCCUUGAUCUUAGUUGCCAGCAUUCAGUUGGGCACUCUAAGGUGACUGCCGGUGACAAACCGGAGGAAGGUGGGGAUGACGUCAAAUCAUCAUGCCCCUUAUGACCUGGGCUACACACGUGCUACAAUGGACAGAACAAAGGGCUGCAAGACCGCAAGGUUUAGCCAAUCCCAUAAAUCUGUUCUCAGUUCGGAUCGCAGUCUGCAACUCGACUGCGUGAAGCUGGAAUCGCUAGUAAUCGCGGAUCAGCAUGCCGCGGUGAAUACGUUCCCGGGCCUUGUACACACCGCCCGUCACACCACGAGAGUUUGCAACACCCGAAGUCGG
rnacentral:rRNA from 1 species